GGAUGAGCAGCCACACUGGGACUGAGACACGGCCCAGACUCCUACGGGAGGCAGCAGUGGGGAAUUUUCCGCAAUGGGCGCAAGCCUGAACUCAGAGUAGACCGUGAGGGAGAAAGGCCUUUGGGUUGUAAACCUCUUUUGUCAGGGAAGAAAAUUUGACGGUACCUGAAGAAAAAGCAUCGGCUAACACUGAUAGCAGAGCCGCGGUAAU
rnacentral:rRNA from 1 species